AUUUUUUUCUGGAGAUCCAUCCUUUGUGGAGUUCUUUAUUGCAAGUCUAGAUCCUUAGAUAUGGAUAAGCAUUUCUUCUUUGUCUCUUUUCCACUAUGAUAAUCUUUCCAACUAUAACACCUGUAAAAUACUGUCCUAACUGUGCUACUCUUCCAGCUGUACAUUUGUUGACUGUACAGUUUUCCUCUUCCAUUAGCAUCAUCUUCUAUUUUUAACGCUGUCACUUGGAGGUGUGCUCUUUAGUAAUCCUUGUAUGCAAACUAGGGAAGAAAGAAAUAUACUAUUUAAAACUCAGGAGACACUAAGAAGGGCCAAACUUUUACCACUGAAAAAAAACGUGAUUGAUAAAACUCAGUGCUUUAGAGAGAACUGACAUACUUUAUGCAGUGAUAGAGACAGCAGUAUCUCUUUAUAUAUAACUUACAAUCAGUCUCCCAGGAUUCUCAACAAGACUGCCUGUGGGGCAAAUAAUUUUAUUUAUUUAUUUAUUUGAAGGACAUUUAGUAUCAUAAAGGAGAUGCCUGUACGUAUAUCUCAAUUUGUUCUCUUGACCUAGAGAAGAAGAGGAAAGGCAGCCUCAUCAAGCUGCUGGAUAGCAGCUGAUAAAUUCCUCAUGCGGAGGGAUCUAGAGAAGUUGAAGGAAUGUGCCGUCAGAAACCAUAUGGAAUUCAAGAAGAACAAUUGCAAAUCCUUUUUUCCAGCAUGGACUAUCCCUAUGUAAUUGUAAUGCCUCAGGAUUGACUAGACAGAUAGAAGUUCUGCUGAAAAGAACCAUGAAGUCAUGUGGUACUGAUGGACAGAAGGCUGAACAGGAAACAGGAUUACAUCCCAUUCGAAAAGAAGGCUAACAGUAUAAUGACUGAAACCACCAUGAGUGUAGCCAUUUAAUUAAGGGAAGUGAGUGAUUGCUUGGCCACAUCUGAAAUUCUACACCCAUAUGUGUCCUGCAUUUCCCUACACCAUCCCUGAACCUCCCAAACCAGGAAGAUUGUUAUAAACUUGAGGAAGUUAUUUGGAGGCCAGUAAGUUAGUCACAGAGCUGAGACCCAUGAGGGCUAUAAGGAGAGACUGAGAAAACAUGGUGUAUUUACUCUGGAGAAAAGAAUCUGGGUGCGGUGAUGGGGAGACCUAAUACCUUCCAGUAUCUGCAAGCUAUUCAGGGGAUAGAACUAAGCCUCUACAGUGGUGCACGGAUGAAAAAUGUGCAACUAUGAUAAUAAAUGGAAAGAAGUAAGGUUUCAGCUGGGCAUAAUGAGGAAAAAAAAAUCAAAUAACCAUUCAAUUUAAAUCAAUUUAAUCAAUUAAAAAUUGAUUAAUUAAUCUCUGGUACUGUUACCCAUGAAGGCUGUGGAAUAUCUGUUCUUGGAGGAUUUCAGGAUCCAAUUAGACGAAGUUCUAAAAAACCUCAUCUGAAUUCAGUAUUGAUUAUUGCUUUGAGAAGGUUGAAUUAGGUGAUCUGAGUCCCUUCCAAUUCAAAUGGUUCUGGUAUUAUGUUUUACAACACACAAAUAGAACAUGCAAAGUCAUAAUCAGUCUGUAUUCAUGUGGAGGAUGGCAAUAGGAACCAAUCUCUGUGAAAGAAGAUAUUUCAACAAUUUUCCAACAUAUUGUGUCAGAAUGUUUGACUCAGACUUUCACUUUACAGUCUUCCAGAUCUGUUCUGCUUCUUUUUGAUUUUGGAAGGAGAGGAUCAAUCCUGGAAUAGAAGGUGGAACUGCACAUCUGCUGGAUGCAUAGCUGUAGCCAGAGGGUCAACUCAAAGUCUUUUCACUCACAGAGAUUAAGGAAAGGAAAAAAAAAAAAACAAAACUGUUUUGAGGGUGGGGAGAAAAGGGGAUCACUCUUUUUUUCUUUUUUUUUCUAUAGUUGAGUCAUUGCUUAGUCUAUGGAAAUUAAAGCAAUUGCAUAUAGUAGCUUCCCAUAUCUCUUUCUCACACAGGUUUUGUAUUGCCAAGGUGGGAAAAUCAAAUUCUAGAAAAUAGCAAACCACCACCAUCAUCCCCUUCCCCUUCUUUGACUGCCACAACUGGUAAAUGUUUACAAGUUAUCACUCUUUAGAACCUGGAAUGAGGCACAGCUGCCUUCUACAGGCAGGCAGCAAAACAUUUUAAGUAUCAGAGAGUCAUGCCAAUACAAUCUAUUGUCUGUAAGACUAAAGGUUAUUAUUUGCUUGGGGCCAGUUAUUUUAAGCCCCUUACUAUGGUAUUUUGGUAUUUUUAUAUUCUUUAUCUUUCCUCUACUUAAACAGAUAAACAAACAACCCCAACGCUUAAGAUGAGUUUACUAUGAAGACUGCCAUGAGGGGAACUGGACUGUUAGUGAUAGAGCAUCAUCAGGAAUCUGAAUGAGUUUCAUAUGCAAUAUUACAAAUUUGUGGUAUUUAUCCUAGUGCUAAGAUGCAGCUCAAGAUGAAUACCAACAGCUGUGCCCAUGUAGACAUAGCAAGAGUAAAUGCCUCUCAGAAAGAAAAGGACAACUAUGACAAAGUAUGUUAUUUGCCGUCGAC
ensembl:lncRNA